GAUGAACGCUAGCUACAGGCUUAACACAUGCAAGUCGAGGGGUAGCAUUUUAGUUUGCUUGCAAACUGAAGAUGGCGACCGGCGCACGGGUGAGUAACACGUAUCCAACCUGCCGAUAACUCCGGAAUAGCCUUUCGAAAGAAAGAUUAAUACCGGAUGGCAUACGAAUAUCGCAUGAUAUUUUUAUUAAAGAAUUCCGGUUAUCGAUGGGGAUGCGUUCCAUUAGUUUGUUGGCGGGGUAACGGCCCACCAAGACUACGAUGGAUAGGGGUUCUGAGAGGAAGGUCCCCCACAUUGGAACUGAGACACGGUCCAAACUCCUACGGGAGGCAGCAGUGAGGAAUAUUGGUCAAUGGGCGAGAGCCUGAACCAGCCAAGUAGCGUGAAGGAUGAAGGCUCUAUGGGUCGUAAACUUCUUUUAUAUGGGAAUAAAGUU
rnacentral:rRNA from 1 species